UUUUUUUUGAUGUGAAAACUUGGUCAGUUCACUUAGUGUGACCUGACGCAAUCUUUAUUAAUAUUCUUAUUACUAUCUAGCAACAUAUAACAUUAUAUCUGACAACAUUACAAGUUUUGGCAACAUAAUUACAUAAAUAUCGAUAACAUUGUGGUAUUUCUUACAAUUAAUUAAAAAUUUUUUUUUUCUUGCUUUAUUUUAAUUUUAUUUUAAAAUUAAGGUCAGGUUAGCCCGCUCGGCCGAGUGGCUGCUGGUCCGGCCACCGAGGAUGCGUUGCCUGUGGAUUGGCUCAAUCGACCGAGUGGCUGCUGGUCCGGCCACCCGGGAUGCGUAUGGGUCUGGAGGAUGUUUUGACUUUUGAUGUGCGGAGAAUUUGGUUUAUAUUUUGUGGGUUUGGUGGUAAAUUG